AUCCACUCAAGGAGUUGUGUCUAUAUCAUCUAGAAGGCGUGACAAAUGGCAGCGGAUGCUAAGAAAAUAUAUCCAGAAGAGUAUACAACCUGGAGAGAAGAUCCAGCAAAUUUUUUCAUAAAUGGCACAUAUCCUCUAAGAGAUCUCUGGAUAUCUGCAAGAAAUGCUUGGAAGGAAAUCUUAUUGACGGCUGGAGAAAGCUUUCUUGUUGUGACUCAAAUCUAUAUUGAGAGCAUUGACUUGCACUGCCUUAGG